rnacentral:rRNA from 1 species
UACGGAGGGGGUUAGCGUUGUUCGGAAUUACUGGGCGUAAAGCGCACGUAGGCGGACUAGUAAGUCAGAGGUGAAAUCCCGGGGCUCAACCCUGGAACUGCCUUUGAUACUGCUAGUCUUGAGUUCGAGAGAGGUGAGUGGAAUUCCGAGUGUAGAGGCGAAAUUCGUAGAUAUUCGGAGGAACACCAGUGGCGAAGGCGGCUCACUGGCUCGAUACUGACGCUGAGGUGCGAAAGCGUGGGGAGCAAACAGG